UAGGGAAUCUUCGGCAAUGGACGAAAGUCUGACCGAGCAACGCCGCGUGAGUGAAGAAGGUUUUCGGAUCGUAAAACUCUGUUGUUAGAGAAGAACAAGGACGUUAGUAACUGAACGUCCCCUGACGGUAUCUAACCAGAAAGCCACGGCUAACUACGUGCCAGCAGCCGCGGUAAUACGUAGGUGGCAAGCGUUGUCCGGAUUUAUUGGGCGUAAAGCGAGCGCAGGCGGUUUCUUAAGUCUGAUGUGAAAGCCCCCGGCUCAACCGGGGAGGGUCAUUGGAAACUGGCAGACUUGAGUGCAGAAGAGGAGAGUGGAAUUCCAUGUGUAGGGGUGAAAUGCGUAGAUAUAUGGUGGAACACCAGUGGCGAAGGCGGCUCUCUGGUCUGUAACAGACGCUGAGGCUCGAAAGCGUGGGGAGCAAACAGG
rnacentral:rRNA from 1 species